rnacentral:rRNA from 1 species
AUUGAACGCUGGCGGCAGGCCUAACACAUGCAAGUCGAGCGAGCGGCGGACGGGUGAGUAAUGCCUAGGAAUCUGCCUGGUCGUGGGGGAUAACGUCCGGAAACGGGCGCUAAUACCGCAUACCAUCAGAUGAACCCAUAUGGGAUUAGCGAGGUGGUGAGGUAACGGCCCACCUAGGCGACGAGCCCUAGCUGGGCUGAGAGGAGGAUCAGCCACAUUGGGACUGAGACACGGCCCAGACUCCUACGGGAGGCACCAGUGGGGAAUAUUGCACAAUGGGCGCAAGCCUGAUGCAGCCAUGCCGCGUGUAUGAAGAAGGCCUUCGGGUUGUAAAGUACUUUCAGUCGGGAGGCGUUACCGACAGAAGAAGCACCGGCUAACUCCGUGCCAGCAGCCGCGGUAAUAC